GUUGUGAUGAUAAGUUCCCAUCCGAUGACUGUUUGGAGAAGGACCGAAAAGCUACCAUGUCUCUGCAUCCUCGGCACCAUGGUCUGAGUUCAACAGAGAUUCUGUGCCUCAUCCUGAACGUGUUCUUGCUCUUGCACCAAGGUCAGUGAUUUAGAGAGUUAAUAAUAAUCAAUUCGAACUGUGAACCACAUUAUUCUGCACUCCAGCUAGGUGUGUGAGCACAUCUAACUGAUAAUGUUCUCUCAGCAAAUGUGUAAAACAACCAAAUAUAACUUUUCUUAAUAAAGACGAAACAGUAACACACACCAAGAAGCAACUGAGGUAUGCAUACAUUUAGAGCAAAAAGAGGAACCAAAUGCGAAAGUGCUUGAUCUGCUGUAACAAUGCAGAAGUACCACAGGAUGAUAAAGGUACCAGUGUAACUUCCAUACAUUGUCUGUAAAAGAGCUGAGUGACUGAUAUGACAAGAAAUCCAAACCUACUCCUAGAAUAUAAUUUUAAAAUGUUAAGAAGAUUUGUUGUAAUUUGCAUUAAUCACAGAAUACUAUUCAUGAUACAAAUGACUAUUUAUGUUAUUUGCCUUGUAAAAUCCAAAAAAAUAAACUCUUUAAAAGAAAUUUUCUUAUCUACUGAAGGAGGGGAUUUGGUGGCGCAGUGGCUUUGGCUAGGUCCUGCUCUCUAGUGGGUCUGAGGUUUGAGUUCUGCUUGGGGUGCCUUAUGUUGGACUGACAUCCUGGCCUGAGUGUGUCCCCUCCUCCUCCAGCCUUGCACCCUGUGUUGCUGAGUUAGGCUUUAGUUUGCCGAGCCCCUGCUUGGGACAAGUGGUUUUAGACAGUGUGUGUGCGUUACUGUAUUUGUGUCCAAAUCGCAGGCAUCUUUCAAGUUAUAUAACUGUGCCAGUGAUUUGGCCUGUCUGGUAAUGAUGUAUCAGAAUAAAUGAACAUUUUACAAGUUUUAAAUUGGUUAUAUGAAGGGUUUUCUCUGUUGUCCAGGAAAAUUGUCAGCGAUCUCUGUGAUCCAGGAGCCCAGUGUCAUUGUGUCUGAAAUAGAAAAGAACAUCACGCUGAACUGCCUGUUCACACACACACCUGAGCAGAAGGUGACAGGCCCAAUCUUGUACUGGUACUAUGGAUCCGAUGAACUUCUGUACCCUCACCCUAUACCGCAGUACAAGAAUCGGGUGAUAGUUCUAAAUCCAGACAAAGACUCCAGCAACAGGUCCAUACUUCUACUUAAUGUGCAGUGGGAAGACAACAGGAAGUUCCACUGCAUGCUGUCAUAUGAAAAAUCAGGGCAUGGUGCUAGGACCAGAGGGAAAGGAGUCAAACUUCUACUCCACGGGCCUAUGAUGUUCAAUGUUUCCUCUGAGUCAGAGAAUGAUCUGCUCUGCAACAUCACAGUAUCCUCUAACAGUGGUUUUCAUCUGACUGUGCUCUGCAAUGGGGUGGAGGUGGCCAAAAGUCAGAGCGAAAUCCGUGACAAAUUUACAGUGCUGUCAGCUCUUGUUCAUGAGCACAUGGAGUGCGAAUGCUGCCUGAACCUGGACUCCACCGUGGUCUUGUCUCGGUCUUACAUCCGGAAGUCUAAAGGUACAUCCACCACGAAUGAGCUGGAAAGAAAAAAUCAUUCUAAAUGCUCUCAGCUUGUAUCAAAAUUCAUAUAAAUUGUGUUUUCUACUUUAACUGUACUAUAUGUUUACAUGUCUAGUUUAAUUUCCUGAUGACAAAUCUCUCUGUUUUUGGUUUGUUUUAGAGGACCAGAGGGCAGAUCUCCCAGAACCAGUGUUCCUCUAUGCUGCCAUCCUCUCAAUCCCCUUCAGCAUCACUCUCAUUAUGGUCAUAGUUUUCCCCAUUUUCGGGAAUAGAAAAAGCAAACAAAGCAAAAGAAAACCUUAAAAGUUUAAAAUGUAUCCCUCUGCAGGUCGAUUGACGUAGCUGUGGGUUUAUAGUGUCCUGGAUGGUUACGUGAUGUAACUGUGAAACAAUGUAUAGAGGGCUGUCAUUUAGCAGGAUCAUCUGUGCAUUUAACAAAAAGUUAAGGCUGAACGAAUACUUUCUCUCCCUGUCUCAUCAUUUCUUUCAGUGCAGGAAUAUAGCUG
ensembl:lncRNA